rnacentral:rRNA from 1 species
CCUACGGGAGGCAGCAGUGAGGAAUAUUGGUCAAUGGCCGGAAGGCUGAACCAGCCAAGCCGCGUGAAGGACGAAGGUGCCAAGCAUUGUAAACUUCUUUUGUCAAGGGACAAAAUCAGGCUCGAGAGCCUGACCGAGGGUACUUGAAGAAAAAGCAUCGGCUAACUCCGUGCCAGCAGCCGCGGUAAUACGGAGGAUGCGAGCGUUAUCCGGAUUUAUUGGGUUUAAAGGGUGCGUAGGCGGAAUGCCAAGUCAGCGGUAAAAUCGCGGGGCUCAACCUCGCUCCGCCGUUGAAACUGGCGUUCUUGAGUGGGCGAGAAGUAUGCGGAAUGCGUGGUGUAGCGGUGAAAUGCAUAGAUAUCACGCAGAACUCCGAUUGCGAAGGCAGCAUACCGGCGCCCAACUGACGCUGAAGCACGAAAGCGUGGGUAUCGAACAGGAUUAGAUACCCCUGUAGUC